GACGUAGGGGGCCAGCGUUGUUCGGAUUUACUGGGCGUAAAGGGCGCGUAGGCGGCGCGGUAAGUCACUUGUGAAAUCUCUGAGCUUAACUCAGAACGGCCAAGUGAUACUGCAGUGCUAGAGUGCAGAAAGGGCAAUCGGAAUUCUUGGUGUAGCGGUGAAAUGCGUAGAUAUCAGGAGGAACACCGGUGGCGAAGGCGGGUCUCUGGGCCGUAACUGACGCUGAGGAGCGAAAGCAUGGGGAGCGAACAGG
rnacentral:rRNA from 1 species